rnacentral:rRNA from 1 species
UCUUCCGCAAUGGACGAAAGUCUGACGGAGCAACGCCGCGUGAACGAAGAAGGUUUUCGGAUCGUAAAGUUCUGUUGUUAGGGAAGAACACGUACCAUUCGAAUAGGAUGGUACCUUGACGGUACCUAACGAGAAAGCCCCGGCUAACUACGUGCCAGCAGCCGCGGUAAU